UUCGCAACCCCUUGAAUCCUUCCUCCUUUAUUCUCUCUCAAAUUUCCCUCUCUUCACUCUCAAACCCUAUCCAGUCAUCACCUGAACCCCUUCAAUCUAUGGGGUUUCUCUUCGAUCUUGGGCCUUUUUGGGCUCUUAUCUCUACUGUUAUACGAUUUUUACGUUAUUUGAUAUGAAUCUCAAGAGACUCAAACCAAAUCUUGUUCAAAGUCUCUCCUAUCUCAUUUAUUUCAUCUAUUUUCACUCCGAUACUUGUGAGUAUGAGUAUCUUCCUAUUUUUUAGGUUUCAAAUCUCUAGUUCAAACUAGAUUUGAUUCGCCUCUGUCCUUUUUAUGAACCUAGCUAUUUUUGGUUGAAUCCAUCCAGGUCUCUUUAGAUCUGAAACGAUUUUGUGUUUGCUUGGUAUUUCUCCUUUAAGAUUUUAUGUUCUUACUAUUGUUAUUGACCGAUUUCGUUUACUCUAAAAGGUAGGGUUUUGAUUUCUGAGGGAUUUCUACAAAAAGGUUUUAGCACUUAUAUAUUCUCAUCUCUAAUUUUCUUAUUUACUCUUCGACUGAUUUUUACUUGAUUUAAUCUAGCUCUACGCAUAUGUCUUUGUAUUUUUAGGGUUUUGAUUAUUUGGUUGCCUAUUCUACUGUGUUUCACUCGGUUUACCUUUAAUGUUGUCAAUUAAGUGUUACUUGAUUUUAUUACCCAAAUUAGGGCUUGAAUUUAGUAAUUGCAUCUCCUUAUUAAGAUUUUUUCCUGUUUACCUUAUUUAUGUGAUUAAUUAUCCUUUCUGCUAGCCCGAUUUUGUGUUCUAACAUUUAAUUGACUUAUGGACCUACCGCUUAUCUUAUUUAGACCUCAUAUCUCCACUCCUGAUUUAUUCCAUGUUAUUUAAGCGAUAACUCUAUGAUUCUACCCAUUAAUUGAUUCUUGUUAAGCCAUAAUUGACUGAUUAAUCUAUUUUCCUUAUUGGUGUACCAUUGAUUCUCCUAUCAUAUUUGAUUUUACUCUACUAUAUUCUAUAAAACCCUUAAUUGUUCUAAUUUUCAAACACACACGCUCAGACUUAGACAUAUAUACUUAUAAGAACACACUGAAACACACUUACACAAUUACACAAUUUCAGUUUCUUUGAUUGGUUGAACUAUCUAGCCGGCUGAAAGCCAAGGAUAGGCUCUUGGAUUUCAUUCGUCUUCAUCUUUAUGUUUGCUAUCUCCUUAAUUGUUAUGCCUACAAUUCUGUUAUCAGAUUCUCUUCUAUAUACUAUGUUAUUAGAUUGCACUUCUAUUUCCUCAUUACUGCUCUCCUAACUAGUAUGCCUCAAUUUCUAUCACCAUGUUCUAUUCUAUAUGCUAUGUAGGCAAUCUAUUAUAGACAUCAACAUGUUUCCUGUUUGAUACAUGAUUCUUGGUCAUCUUGCUCUCACAUGUUACGCUUCAGUUAUUGUUAUUCCAUGUGAUUAUAUGAUUAGUGUACUUCUAACUGCGAUAUAUUUCUGUUUGCCAUGUGUUUUUCCUACUUGCAUUCUCCCUGACUAGUAUGCCUCAAAUCUUGUUAAUUUGCUUUGUUCUAUGUGGUUAUGUGAUGGGCUUACCUUUGCGUGCCUGGACCUUGAUUUCUGUUUACUUCUUUCUAGAUUAGAGAGCUUCAGCAACUGGUAUCCUGUGCUAUAUGUUUGUUUGGUUGGUUAUUUCAAACUCCAGCAUGCUUCUAUUCAAUAUAUUUCUAUAUGAGUCCACUUAGUGAUAGCUAAUAAACAAAGUUAUAUGAAACCCUAUCUAAAUAAGUUGUAUGUUUCCUAUUCAGAACAUGGCUGGAUGGUGCAAGCAUGUAAUAUGGCUAACUCUGAUUGUUAAUUCAAGUGUCCUUGCUUUUGUGAUCACUGAUAUAAGUCUAAACAAAUAUCAAUCUUCCUGAAUCAUAUGUUGAGUAUGGAUCGUGUUUGUACGACUCUACUAGCAACCCCUGUAGACUGAAACUAUUUGCUUAUAAAAUUAAAUCGUUUUCUAAAAUUGUCCCCCUCACCUUCUAUGUAUUGAUUCUCAUAUUGCUACUCUUAGUCCUUUAGGUUCCUACCACCCCCAGUGUGAGCGUUGCCUAGGGUCCCUGAG
rnacentral:lncRNA from 1 species